AUGGAAGUAAAAAGUCGUAACAAGGUCUCCGUUGGUGAACCAGCGGAGGGAUCAUUACCGAGUUUACAACUCCCAAACCCAAUGUGAACGUUACCAAACUGUUGCCUCGGCGGGAUCUCUGCCCCGGGUGCGUCGCAGCCCCGGACCAAGGCGCCCGCCGGAGGACCAACCAAAACUCUUAUUGUAUACCCCCUCGCGGGUUUUUUACUAUCUGAGCCAUCUCGGCGCCCCUCGUGGGCGUUUCGAAAAUGAAUCAAAACUUUCAACAACGGAUCUCUUGGUUCUGGCAUCGAUGAAGAACGCAGCGAAAUGCGAUAAGUAAUGUGAAUUGCAGAAUUCAGUGAAUCAUCGAAUCUUUGAACGCACAUUGCGCCCGCCAGUAUUCUGGCGGGCAUGCCUGUCCGAGCGUCAUUUCAACCCUCGAACCCCUCCGGGGGGUCGGCGUUGGGGAUCGGCCCUUUACGGGGCCGGCCCCGAAAUACAGUGGCGGUCUCGCCGCAGCCUCUCCUGCGCAGUAGUUUGCACACUCGCAUCGGGAGCGCGGCGCGUCCACAGCCGUUAAACACCCCAAACUUCUGAAAUGUUGACCUCGGAUCAGGUAGGAAUACCCGCUGAACUUAAGCAUAUCAAUAAGCCGGAGGA
rnacentral:rRNA from 1 species